rnacentral:rRNA from 1 species
UAGGGAAUCUUCCACAAUGGACGCAAGUCUGAUGGAGCAACGCCGCGUGAGUGAAGAAGGUUUUCGGAUCGUAAAGCUCUGUUGUUGGUGAAGAAGGAUAGAGGUAGUAACUGGCCUUUAUUUGACGGUAAUCAACCAGAAAGUCACGGCUAACUACGUGCCAGCAGCCGCGGUAAUACGUAGGUGGCAAGCGUUGUCCGGAUUUAUUGGGCGUAAAGCGAGCGCAGGCGGAAGAAUAAGUCUGAUGUGAAAGCCCUCGGCUUAACCGAGGAAUUGCAUCGGAAACUGUUUUUCU